CAAGAAGACAGUCAAACAGGCCCUGGAAUUAGGUCGAACCAGGGUGAUGAUACGUUGAAGGUCAGACGAACGCAGAAUAUUGGUAGAUUGAACCCUCUGGGGAUUGAGAUUGUUAAUCAAUAAAGCUAUUUUUGUGCCCGUGCAAGAUGAAUGCUGUGUUUGUGGUUACGACUGCGUUGCCACUUCGAUGAAACACCAGUUUAGCAUCAGGCGAAGAGUGGAAUCAAUCUUGAAUCCAUCUUUCCCUUCAGAUUCAGAUUGUUGUGAGAGCCUCCGCCUUGAGAGUUGAAGUUUGAUCUGUAAUUAUAAAGACCCAGAUGGCCCAAAAUCAAAGGCCCACAAGCAUUCUUGAAUCUCUUGGGGAAGAGAUUAUUAGAAUUGUCGCCCCAGUUUCAAUCUGCAUGUUCAUGGUGGUUAUUCUAGUCUCUAUUCUCAACUCCAGCUCCUCGUCUUCUGCUGCAACAGUUAGCUCCAUCGCUACCAUUGCAUAUAAUGAAAGCAGCUCCGAUUCCUCGUGGGACAAAUUUACAGGUGCUCUUUUAAACUCCCUGGUGUUUGUGGCUAUCAUAACUGUGGCUACAUUCGUCAUGGUGUUACUUUUCUACCUCAGAUGCGUCAAGUUCUUGAAAUAUUAUAUGGGUUUCUCGGCUUUUGUCGUUUUGGGUUUUCUUGGAGGUGAAAUUGCAUUGUUCUUGAUUGAAGAUUUCGAUGUUCCUGUUGAUUGUUUCACUUUUUUGGUUGUUCUCUUCAAUUUUGCUGCUGUGGGUGUUUUGGCUGUGUUCAUGUCAAAAAUGCCCAUCCUUGUAACACAAGGGUACUUGGUUUUGAUUGGGAUGCUGGUGGCUUAUUGGUUUACUUUGUUACCCGAAUGGACUACUUGGGCUCUUUUAGUUGCACUGGCUCUCUAUGAUCUUGCAGCAGUUUUGCUUCCUGUUGGACCUUUGAGGCUGUUAGUUGAGCUUGCUAUAUCUAGGGAUGAAGAUAUCCCAGCUUUGGUUUAUGAGGCUCGGCCAGUGGUUUAUCAUGAAUCAAAUCCUAGGGAUGCAGUGCAAACAAGGAUGAGGGUAUGGAGGGAAAGAAAUGAAAUUUCGGGCAAUCUCCCUGCGGUUCUCGAUUCUGUUUCCGAGGGCAAUGUGGUUUCUGAAUCAAGUGUAGAUGAGAUUGAAACAUCCGAUUCAAAUCCUAAUAGUGAAUCAAGUGUUGUUAGAUCUGAAGAGGGCCAGGUUCUCAUAAGGAACAGUGAGCUUCUUGUUCCAUUAAUUGACAUUGGAGGGAACGUUCAGCCACACGGAGAAGAAGUUUCUGCAUCAAAUGAAAAUUUAAUGUUAGAGGGAAUUGGGUUGGGAUCCUCUGGGGCUAUCAAGUUGGGGCUAGGGGACUUCAUUUUCUAUAGCGUAUUGGUCGGCAGGGCAGCGAUGUAUGAUUACAUGACGGUUUAUGCGUGCUAUCUUGCAAUUGUAGCUGGUCUUGGAAUCACUUUGAUGCUAUUGGCAAUAUAUCAGAAAGCUUUGCCUGCUCUCCCAGUGUCGAUAGCACUAGGCAUCAUGUUUUACUUCCUAACGCGGCUCUUCCUCGAGAUAUAAUAAGAACGGUUGAUUGUUGAUGGUUAACGAUUGCACCCCUGUUGCUCAGUUUCUGUCUGGAGACCUUAGAACUUGACCUUGAAUCAGUUCCUGCAGCUCAGAAGCAAGAGUUGAGCCAUUUCUUGAUCUUCACGUUUAAGACAUUCCAUUCCAUACUCACCAAAUCAUCGAUGCUAUACUUUUCCAUUUCGAGAUUGAACAAAUACUCAUCCAACGCAUCUUUCCGCAUAUUAACAGAAGCCUGGCAGAAUUCCUGAAUACAAUUUGAAGUAAACACAAGAUUUGCGAUGGCUUUAAGAUGAAGGAUCAGGUGUGGAUGGACCAAGUUUACAACAUAUACGGCAGCCAUACUCUCCCUCUGGGGAUUUUCUUCCUCCAAAUUGUCCUCAACUGAAACAAAGGACUCGUUGUAGACACAUUAUAGCCAGACUGAAAGGGAGCAUAAUCGGGCUCAAAGUAUAGUUUGGGAAAGAAUUUCGUUUUGCUUCCGACUCUCAUUUAAGGAGACCUUCCCAUCUCCCAUAUCGCAAGCUUUCCUCAACGGUCUUCAUUUUGCUGUUUCUAUUCAUUUAGAAGUCUUGUUUUAUUUGGAUGAUAAAAAGGUCUUAUAUAGGUUAGGCUUAUGUUUAAAAGUUGUUUCGGACUUAGGGUUAGAAGUCAUAUAAUUAGAAAUCGAAGUCAUUCUCAAAGAUUUCAGGGCUAAUGAGGAACACUAAAUUAGCAUUACCAUUAUUGUCCAAUCAAAGCACGAUAAGUCAAUU